rnacentral:rRNA from 1 species
UACGUAGGGUGCGAGCGUUGUCCGGAAUUAUUGGGCGUAAAGAGCUUGUAGGCGGUCUGUCGCGUCUGCUGUGAAAAUCCGGGGCUCAACCCCGGACUUGCAGUGGGUACGGGCAGACUAGAGUGUGGUAGGGGAGACUGGAAUUCCUGGUGUAGCGGUGAAAUGCGCAGAUAUCAGGAGGAACACCGGUGGCGAAGGCGGGUCUCUGGGCCGUAACUGACGCUGAGGAGCGAAAGCGUGGGGAGCGAACAGGA